rnacentral:rRNA from 1 species
CCGCCGGACGCACGUCGCGAGAAUGUCUCACUGAACCUUAUCAUUUAGAGGAAGAAGAAGUCGUAACAAGGUUCUACGGAAGGAUCACGGGGACGCGCGACCAAGCCCCGGCGCCCGUCGCACCAAGGAAACGGAAAGAACGCGCGGGAUCCGUCCGGGGAGCGCCGCCGCGCCACGGGUAUGCCACGCAUACACAAAACGACUCUCGGCAACGGAUAUCUCGGCUCUCGCAUCGAUGAAGAACGUAGCGAAAUGCGAUACUUGGUGUGAAUUGCAGAAUCCCGUGAACCAUCGAGUCUUUGAACGCAAGUUGCGCCCGAAGCCAUCCGGCCGAGGGCACGCCUGCCUGGGCGUCACGCAACGUCGCCCCCACCCCAUCGCGGGCGGGGCGGAGGAUGGCCUCCCGCGAGCACCCGUCUCCCAGAUGGCCGAAACGCGAGCGCGAGACGGCAGUCGCCACGAUCCACGGUGGGAGGAGCGGAACUCGCUCACUCGAGACCGGCCGUGCGCGAGCUGCCGCCGCGCAGGACCCACGCGCGCCACGGGCGCUCCCGACGCGACCCCAGGUCAGGCGGGGACACCCGCUGAGUUUAAGCAUAUCAAUAAGCGGAGGAA